UACGUAGGGGGCAAGCGUUGUCCGGAAUCAUUGGGCGUAAAGAGCGCGUAGGCGGUCCGGUAAGUCCGCUCUGAAAGUCCGGGGCUCAACCCCGGGAGGCGGGCGGAUACUGUCGGGCUAGAGUCCGGAAGAGGCGAGUGGAAUUCCUGGUGUAGCGGUGAAAUGCGCAGAUAUCAGGAGGAACACCAAUGGCGAAGGCAGCUCGCUGGGACGGUACUGACGCUGAGGCGCGGAAGCGUGGGGAGCAAACAGG
rnacentral:rRNA from 1 species